AAAACCUUUCGACGCAGGCGAGUGAUGGAAGAUAAAAUCUGAGGGGCGACAUGAGGGUCAAAUAAAAGUUGCUUUUCAGUUCGCUCCUCCAAGCCCCGCAGCGACCGCAGGGGGGUGAGAUUCCCAAAGCCACUUUCACACCUUCAAUAAUGCACUAGCAAAGAGAAGCCCGGAGAGGCUGAAGUUUCCACGGAGGACACCAUCGGGGAGACGCAGCCCGGGAGGACAGGAGGAUUGGGCUCGCUACCUCUGCACACCGGCGAGCCGGGGCUCCGUCUCUCAGCUUUUAUCUCCACAGUAACUCUGCUUGCCAACUUUGAUGACAGUGGCAUCAAAAAUUCCCUGAAAUGAUACAUAGCGAUACUAGCAUCAGUACCACCACUGAGCUGAAAGACUGUGUUGCAUAAGAACAGUACAUUCAUAGUGUGAAGCAGAGGAAAUCUGCCUUCUGAGAGAAAAUGACAAAGUGAUUUGCACAAAGGAGAAAUGAGACCAGAUGACCAGAAAGAGGAAGACAGCCUGAGAGUACCAUCAAGACUAUUCAUAUCUUGUCCAUUUUCUUCAACCCUCCUAAACCACCAUCAUCCUGUCUCACCCCUACUGAUACAACUCCAGUGCAUUCAACUCAUCAUAUCAGGGAAACUGUGUGAAUCUAGAUUUGGAAACCAAGAGGCAUCUGUCAAUAUGAGGCAGAAUAGUUAAAAACAGAAUGGAUUUCCAUUUCAGAAGAUGUAUCAGGAAACAGAUUUCUCAGGAAAGAGACUCCUCUUCUGAUGGAUGAGAACAAGAAAGCUUGUAGCCCCUAGUUGCUGCUGGGUGUUAUCUUGUCAUGUUGAAAGAGGAGAUUAGUCAGCCAGCUAGUGCUUCUGUAGUAUAUGGGUCAGUGAUUCGUGAAGCCUGAACCAGCAGCAUUGGAAUCAACAGCAGCAGCAUCUGGGAACUUGCUAGAAAUUCAUAUCCUCCAGCCCCAAAACAGGACCCACUGAAGGAGAAAUGCAGGGGGAAAGGGUUGGGCCCAGCAGUCUGUUUUAAAAAGCCAUCUAGGUGACUAUGAUGCCUAAUCAAAUUGGAGAACCACUUGUUUGGAUUAUUCUUUUCUAGAAACAAAAAGAGAAGAACUGACCUUAUGCAAAGAACAGAGUAAUCCUAGAAUAUGCACAUUCCUCAGCUACAUUACAAGAAGAAAAAGGGCUAAGCAAGAAAAGCAAUAGGGAGGACAAAGGAAAGAACCGUGUGGAGAAGGAGAAACUGGAAAACCCCAGAAGUUCCAUUUCAAGCUACAGCUCAGCUAUAGCUUGACCUCCAGUCAAGACAUGCCUAUGACAACUCUCCCUGACUGAUAAGUGAGGGAGAUAACUCUUCCAGGUGACAUGGACACAGAAAUGAAGAUGAUUGUUACAAGACAGACAAGUAGUGAUAACCACCUAUCAAUCAGCAGGGGUCUCCUGACCAAUCCUGGAAGGGCACAGUUCUCAGCAAGAUCCCCAGACCAGCCCUAGGAGGACAGGGGACUCUAAAAACCUCCCUUUCCUGUCCCAAGCCCUCCCUUCCAGCCCUAAACCCAAUAAAAUUCCAAAUCCAGCUGAGCCUGGGCUCGAUUCCCUCCACCCGCUCUGUUAGAACGGGUCUCACCCAGGAGUGAAUCUCAAUAAAGCCUUGUUCAGCAGCU